UGGAGCGGUCAGUCAGUCAGUCAGUCAUUUAGGGUGAGGGUCAUCUCAAGUGUACGUUGGGAUCGGCGGGGGAUCUAUAGCCGGCGAACAGCAUCGGCAAAACGUAUUUCCAGUCAGAGAAAAAGAAGAGGAAAGCUCUGGCCAGAAGAAAGAAAACAUCAAGAGAAUCGAGAAUAAAAUGGCUGCUGUGUCUUGCAAGUGUGGGCUCAGAGACUAGCUGAGCUGCAACAGUUGGAGGAAGAGAAGAAGAAUCCAUGGCUUAAGAUCUUGUCGUCAAACCUUGUUCUAAAUGGUAAUCCCGGAGCAGAUGGAUUGAUUUUGCUUUCUCUAAUUAAUGGACUGAGUCAGUGGUUUUAGGUUGCUGUGUCGACAGUAGCAGGCGGCAUUCUUCUACAGCAACUUUACUGUCGUGUAGGUCACUGGCUCACCGUGUAUUGAAUAUUGAUACCAUUUAACAUUCAAAGUAGUUUCUUUAGGCUUUGUUCCAUUUUGCCAUAGAGUUUCACUGUGGGAGAAAUGAUACUCAUAUGAAUCACAGCAUAAGAGGAACUGAGGGAGUGUUAUUUAUUGGAUGCCCUCACCUUAAAUCACCGCUUUAUUUAAUAUGUAACUCUUAGGCCAUCUUUAACCCAUGGGUUAUUGUGCCAC